AUUGAACGCUGGCGGCAUGCCUUACACAUGCAAGUCGAACGGCAGCACGGGUGCUUGCACCUGGUAGCGAGUGGCGGAACGGGUGAGUAAUACAUCGGAAUGUACCUUGUAUGGGGGAUAAGCUACGGCGAAAGCCGGAUUAAUACCGCAUACGCUCUGAGGAGGAAAGCGGGGGACCUUCGGGCAUCGUGCUACAAGAGCAGCCGAUGUCAGAUUAGCUUGUUGGUGAGGUAAAAGCUCACCAAGGCGACGAUCUGUAGCUGGUCUGAGAGGACGACCAGCCAACACUGGGAACUGAGACACGGCCCAGACUCCUACGGGAGGCAAGCAGUGGGGAAUUUUGGACAAUGGGCGAAAGCCUGAUCCAGCAAUGCCGCGUGUGUGAAGAA
rnacentral:rRNA from 1 species